GGUUGGCUGUCUGGGUGGGGUUUGCUCUGCUGGGUAAGAGCUGCGUAAGGGAACGUCACAAAUACUCUGUGGACACCUGGUGGCAGAUUCCUCCUCCUCCCGGAGGGCCUGGAUGAGGCCGUUGGACAGGAGGCUAAAUAGAAACCCCACCUUCCCUUUGUUGGUUUAGCGGAGAGAGAGACGGACGCUCAACCUAGUCUCAGACACGGAUGGACGGAUGGACAGUAAGCCACGGCCACCAGAAGACCCCCCCCCUUUCCGAGAG